CCUGCUUUUGUCGCUAGAGUUUUAAUAAUUUUUUAGUUCUUUUUUUUCCUGGUGGGUUAAAUGUAUACAUAAGUGUAUAGAUACUAAGGCUUUAAUUCUCUUUCAUUAAUUUGCUUUUUCUUACAAGGUAUUGAUUUGCAUGUAUCCCUUUACAUCGAUGAGACUUUUUUUUUUUUUAAGCAGUUGAUUACAGUCUCACAAGAC
rnacentral:misc_RNA from 1 species